UUUGUUUGAAUCAGAGCCAAAGCACAACACAGCUAGCAUAGCGCAGCGGCAAUCACGGGUCAUAAACGGCCACCGACCGGGCGUCGGAGGAGAUAAGCCGUUGAGGAGCUAAUCUCGCUUGUUGACGGUGUCCGAUGCGGCGGCUCCGGUGGUCCCGUGAUAAGGCUAACUAGCAUGUUUACCAGCGGAGAGCCGUUUAGAGAGCAAACCUCCGUGACCUCUUACCUCGCUCCGCUGCACCAGCGCGAUUCCAGCUAGUGUGUGAAACCCGAACGGCGCCCAUGAUGCCAGCGUGCUCCCAGCGAGGGUUCUGUCUGUCUAUCCAGUGCUCUUUACACCACUACACUGCUGGUUCUACUCUGGGAACCUUCAGGUGUCUGGGAUCCACAAUCUCCCAGGAUCUGAAGUGGACACUCGUCAUAGAUGCAAUCAACAAACCAAAAGGGCCCAGCAGAGGAUGCACUUCCUGUUCCAGCUCAAGAAUUCAACCUGUCUCCCAUUCUGCACAGUCUGCUCUCUGCAGUUCAGAUACUGUCUGGUUCGGAUCGGCCACCAAAAUGGACAGAGACACACUACAACGGACAGUCAGGAUACCUUCCAUCCAAGGCUUAUACCUGUCCUGAGUCAUGAAAUGGGCAUGUAGCAUGACUAGAGACCAUAGACUCUGUUGCUGCAGAACCUUUACACCCCUGAUCACAACCUGUUCUCUCUGCUCCCUGAACACCAAAACACCCAGACACAGGAACAGUUCCUCCCCACCGGCCAUCACUCUGAACAUUUCAAUCAGUCACAAACAACUCAUUCUGCAUUCCCACCCUGAGCCACUGUAUAUACUGUUUACCACAUACCUGGUUAUAUGUCUUACCCUAUUCCACCUGCCUCAUGUGUAUAAGGUGUCAAUAACUCUGUAUUGAUUGUUUGUAAUUGUAUUUUGCAUUAAAGUUUGCUUCACUUUAA